UACGUAGGCAGCGAGCGUUGUUCGGAGUUACUGGGCGUAAAGGGUGCGUAGGCGGUUGUUUAAGUUUGGUGUGAAAUCUCCCGGCUCAACUGGGAGGGUGCGCCGAAUACUGAAUGACUAGAGUCCGGAAGAGGAGAGUGGAAUUCCUGGUGUAGCGGUGAAAUGCGCAGAUAUCAGGAAGAACACCCGUGGCUAAGGCGGCUCUCUAGUACGGUACUGACGCUGAGACGCGAAAGCGUGGGGAGCGAACAGG
rnacentral:rRNA from 1 species